AUGGUAACAGUAAAGUGUGCAAACUGUGUAUGUUCAACAGUAAAUUAUUAUCUUUUUGUCUCUCACAUUCAACAGUUUGAAUUGUAGAGUGAACAGCAUGUUGCCAGUUUGGACAGUUAGAGCAUUAGGUAGUCUGUGCAUAACAUCUGCAAUUGUCCAGACUGGUAAGGAUGUGGUUUGGUUUCAAGAACAUCCUCAUUCUAUAGGCCUGGCGUAGUGAGGCGGAAUCGGAAGAGAAGGCCACACACGCCACUGAGUCAACCCCACCACCCUCCACCCAUUGCACACACACAAACUGGUUGUGAAAGAGACUGUUGUGUGUGUGACUUAGUGGUGAUGGUGGUGGGGGAGCAUUGCAAGGUUUGACAGACUGUCAAUAAGAUGGUGUUCUUAAGCCCAUACAGCAGCCUGAACUAGCAUCUCCCUGGUUGAACAGGAAAACCAUCUUUUCCUGCACGGCCAACUUUUCUCACAGAAGUUCUAGAGGAAGGAAGAGAAUGAAAGACAGCCGGUGACCUGGGCCUACACAUUACCCAGCAGAGAGAAAUUAGUGCGAAAUCAUGAGAGGAAAUGCACACAUCAAUUGUGCCUCUAUUUUGGCCCCUGGAUCUGUUGCAGGCAGCUUUUAAUGAAAGGCGACCAUUGUUGGAAAUGGCAAGCUGAUACUUCAAAACAGAUGAAAUCAUGUUCUGUGUGAACAGGAAACAGAAUUCUAACCUCUGACCCGCCGUGUAAUGAACUCCUAACAUGUGUGCCAAAGGGCUGCAUGCCUUCUAUGUCUGACUGCAGCACAAGGAGGGGAUCCACACUUCUGGCCAUUACUGAGGACUAAAAUGCUAAGUCAUACGUCUGUCAGUAGGGACACAUGGCUUGUCAGAGUGUUCUACGAAAGUAACUUUGAGGGGGUCUCCCCAGGACAAUACUAACUCAUAUCGAUUGUCUCAAUUUAGAGAGAAUAAAACCGCAACAAUCCUUUUGCACCCCUUGAGAAAGCACUGAGUUCCACAGAUUACGACAUGACCUCUCUCCGGCAUCAGCAGCCAUGCUCCUGUAAUGCCUUCCUCAUAAGUGGGGCAAAGUGAACUUCAUGUCCCCACAUUCCCUCCAGCUCCCGAAAAAUUUCAUCAAGGCCACGACUCCCAUAAGAUGAGGCAGCCAGGACAGAAAAAUCCCCCUUCUACUGUUUAUCCUAACAGAGUGUAAUGUAAAAACAGAAAAGCCACGUCUUCCUUUUGUGGAAGUGUCUGUUCAGAUGGGUCUUGCACACGCAGGGGAAGGCAGUUUAUAUUUAGCCUGCACUUUGUCUGUUAACUCCGUGGUGACUGCGGAAGGAAGAGGCUUCUGUGCAGCAAACAGGGGAGCCAUGACAAUGUGCACCGAUGAGCCGGGUCACUCAGAGCCCUGGUGAAGGGGGUGCAUCACCUGAAUCCUCUAUUUUGCAUUGCCAGGUUGGUUGAAACCUGCCUGCUGCUGUUUGUGUUCACAACCUUGAGAUCGUAUCCUCUUCACAGUUUUGAUAAGCCACUGAAAGAAUGUUUGACUGAGGAAAAGUACCACAGCUGCCGGUACAGAGCGUUCACACCAUGAGAAAUUGUUUCCCCAAGUGUUUGUUUGAGAAAUAUGUAUGAAAACUGUGUGGAAGGUAUCAGAAUUAGUACCAUUCAAAACUAAACUGAGCCAUUUUACACUCCUUAACAUUUGCAUAUUUUCCACUUAUUUGUCUGUUUCUUUAUCACAUAGUCAUACAUUCUAAACUUGUGUUAAAUAUCUCAUACGGUUUCUGUAAUGUAGCAGAGGAACAGUGCAUCUGUAAUGGUGAUUAAAGCUGAUUACUUGUGACAUUAUAAUCCCAAAAUAAAAUAUUUUUUUCCUUU